UGAUCUUAUCAUGAACAGUAAAUAAUAAACUGAUAAUAAAAAGUGUAAUAAUGAGUGAUGUAUAUCUCCAUACCCAAAACCAUAUAAAGCAAUAGCAUAUACUACCCAAAAAUAUUCAGUGGUAAAACAAGGUAUAAAGAUAGCCAAAACUGGGUAACCUAUUGGAUCCCAUCAAAAUUAACCUAUGCAGAUCAUUAUGAUUAAUAAGAACAUGACUGGGUAAAAAGGAAGUGAUCAAGGGCACAACUUGCUUUCAAUGAGCUCCUGCUCAGCAACUUCUAUCUGUUGGGCACCAGGAUCCUCUGUGGCUUGCUCAUCUACUCGCAUCAAUACAAACAUACAUAGUAUAAAGAGAAAAUUAACAUCAUACCAAACAUGUAAACAAAAUACAUAAUAAUAAUAUACACAUUAAAAUGAUAUCAUAGGAACAAGAAUUAAUAAUUUUGGAGUUAUAGAUUUUAAGAUAUGAAUUUCCCAAGGUUUUAUGCAUUUAAUACAAGAUCAAGUAAUAGAUAAAUUUUUAUGUGUCUUUCAUGCCAAAACAGUGGCACUAAUGGAUAGACAAUAAUAUUACAAAAAAUUAGGAACUGGAAUGGACCAAUUUGGAGUUCAUAUGCAUUUUCUAUUAAUUAUACAAAUUCUAGGAAUUGUUUCCUAUUAAAAACUCAUUUUCUAAAUAAAGUCUAUAGAUUUUAGAUCUAUCUGGACCGCGCACCAAUUAAUCAGAAGCAUAGGGGCUAGCGUGCAAGAAUUCCUGCGCUGUACAGGGUGUACUGUGGGUUUGUUCUCUAAAAUUAUAUGGGGUUUUCUGCAAAGUGGCAUGGCGAAGGGGUAUUGGCCGAUUACGGCCGUCCGAUUAGAAACGAACGGUGCCGAUUAGAUCGCCCAACACCCACGCCGCCCGAUCUGAAUCCAAGAGCCCGAAUCGGCCCAGCGAUACAUCCGCCCUACCAAUAAUCUUGUCCGUUCCAUUUGCAUUCAAUGAUCUCGAUUUAAAACGCCUACGACCGCAUAUGCACCCGUCGUGAUCAAUUCAAUGGCCCAGAUUUUUUUAUACGGUGGCACACUCUGGACCGUUGAUCUAUCCAUCGACUGCCCACAUCCCAUCUUCCUCCUCCCGACCCUCUCUUCCAAAACAGAAAACGGCGGAGGUGGCCAUCGCCGACGAGGCUAAUCCUCGGUAUAGGCGCACCAAAUUUCAAUUCAACGGCUCUACAUGUUGUGGUAAUCAAAGCGGACCUGGGCAAAGUUUCCAUACCGGGAAUUGCGUGUGCAGGCGUGACGUCCACGGGGUGGAGCAGCUUCAUGGCGGAAGGCAAGGUUCGGCGAACAAUUCCCGGUUGCCUGGUGAUUGAUUCCACCCGCGAACGCCACAUACAACCCCCCGAUGGCACGCACAAGCCCACGACCCAGCCCAAGAUCCCGGCCAACGGCGAAGAACAGACUGGUGGCGGCGCGGAUGUUUACUUGACGCAGGGGCAUGGUUCUCUCUCUCCUUCUCAGCUUGGGCCCUAAUAAGUUCGCGAGAAGCUAGUCCCAGAAGCGGCGCACGCGCUUAUAUGCGGAGGAGGUU
rnacentral:lncRNA from 1 species